CCUACGGGUGGCAGCAGUGGGGAAUAUUGCACAAUGGGGGAAACCCUGAUGCAGCGACGCCGCGUGAGUGAAGAAGUAUUUCGGUAUGUAAAGCUCUAUCAGCAGGGAAGAAGAAAGACGGUACUUGACCAAGAAGCCCCGGCUAACUACGUGCCAGCAGCGGCGGUAAUACGGAGGGGGCAAGCGUUAUCCGGAUUGACUGGGUGUAAAGGGGGCGUAGACGGACGUGCAAGUAAGAAGUGAAAGCCGGGGGCUCAACCCUGGGAUUGCUGUGGAAACUGUAGGGAUUGAGUGCAGAGGGGGGAACCGGAAUGCAUGGGGUAGCGGUGAAAUGCGUAGAGAUGAUGAGGAAAUACAGGGGAGAAGGCGGGUGACCGGAGUGCAACUGACGCGGAGGCUCGAAAGUGCGGGGAGAAAACAGGAUUAGAUACCCCGGUAGUC
rnacentral:rRNA from 1 species